UGCUCAGCAAAACCCCCAAGACCAUGGCAAAGAAUAGGAACCAUAAAACCAUUUACAGACUGAAGAUAAAGCUUUCCUCUUAUUAUCUCAAUUUUGUUAUUAUUAUGCACAGGCCUGUUCGCAGCCUAUGACAGCCCUGUGUGGUUUUCUGAUUCCAGAGACAUUCUCACUUCAGUCUCCGGACUGUGUGUAGCAUUAUAAGGUUUAAAAGCUGGUUGAUGGGAGACCGGAGACUUAGCAGCCACUGGAGCAGCACGGCCAAGCCUUGUGGGGUACGCCUGAGAAGGGAAGCCCGCAAACAGGUGCAUGUCUUCAGACAAAAUCUUCUCCAGGAGGCUGAGGAAUUCCUCUACAGAUUCUUACCUCAGAAAAUCAUAUACCUGAAUCAGCUCUUGCAGGAGGACUCCCUCAACGUGACUGACAUGACUUCUCUCCGGGCCCCGCUGGACAUCUGGAUAUCCCCAUCCCAGACCCUCCACCCAAGGAUGAUGAGAUGGAAACGGAUAAGCAAGAGAAGAAAGAAGUCCCUAAGUGCGGCUUUCUCCCUGGGAAGGAGAAGGUCCUGGCCUUGCUUGCCCUGGUUAAGACAGAAGUCGGGACUCUCAAAGAAAAAUGCCUUCUGGUGAUCACACGGACCCAGCCCCUCAUCCCCAAAAUUGAGGGUGGAAAUGACGUCGGGGCGGCCAUCCAGGAAACGGUGGAGAGGGUAAAUGCAGUCAAGACCAAAGUGGAAGCCUGCCAGACAACCAUUUCCAAGUACUUCUCAGAAAACGUGGGGAUGCUGGGGCCAAGGCCUCUAAGGAGACCCACGUAAUGGAUUAUCGGGCCCUGGUGCACGAGCGAGACAAGGCAGCCUAUGGAGAGCUCAGGGCCUUCUAUGCUGAGCUUUACCAUAUUAUAAGCAGCAACCUGGAGAAAACUGUCAACCCAAAGGGUGAAGAGAAGCCAUCUAUGUACUGAGCCCAGGGUUAGAAGGGAAAUAAAUGACCUAUACUUUGUGUGGAUAAAAAAAAAAAAGCUGGUUGAUGGGGACUUCCCUGGUGGCUCAGUGGUUAAGAAUCCACCUGCCAAUACAGGGGACACAGGUUCGAUCCCUGGUCUAGGAAGAGCUCACA